CAGUGAAUGGGGGUCACAUAGUGAAUGGGGGUCUCAUAGACAGUGAGUGGGGGGUCACAUAGAACAGUGAGUGGGGGUCACAUAGACAGUGAGUGGGGGGUCACAUAGACAGUGAAUGGGGUCACAUAGAACAGUGAAUGGGGGUCACAUAGACAGUGAGUGGGGGGUCACAUAGACAGUGAGUGGGGGGUCACAUAGACAGUGAAUGGGGUCACAUAGACAGUGAGUGGGGGUCACAUAGACAGUGAGUGGGGGUCGCAUAGACAGUGAGUGGGGGUCACAUAGACAGUGAAUGGGGUCACAUAGACAGUGAGUGGGGGUGACAUAGAACAGUGAGUGGGGGUCACAUAGACAGUGAAUGGGGGUCACAUAGACAGUGAAUGGGGGUCAUAUAGACAGUGAGAGAGUCACGUAGAACAGUGAAUGAGGGUCACAUAGAUCAGUGAGUGAAGGGCACACAGACAGUGAGUGGGGGUCACACAGUGAGUGGGGGUCACAUAGAUCAGUGAGUGGGGGGUCACAUAGAGCAGUGAGUGGGGUCACAUAAAGUAAGACUAGCGAAUGGAACCACAGCCAACUAUUCAUUCCUUAAAAGUUGCAUAGAGGCGAGCCAUUCGUUGGAACGAUCUUUUGAUCUUACUAAGCUCCAUUUCUUACUAGUGAGUGGAUAUUGGUGAUUAAGGAAAAGAGAAACCCCAUGGUUGUAAGCUCAAUAUUCACAGAUUUUAAAAAUGAGAGCUAACCAAUAAAACCCUACCCUCAG
rnacentral:sRNA from 1 species